AUGCAGGCAGAUAUGUUCCUGACCAAGCUGACCAGCAUGUGCAAGAGGAGCACGGAGAAGGGCUCUAUGUGGGUCACCAUGAAGCGAUUGUCGAUGAAGUGUCAGGCUAGGUUGAAGAAGAUGGCGAGUAAGGGGGAGCCUGUUGAGUACCGGUGCCUGGUCUGCGCCACCGAUGGCAAGAGGAACAUCUCCACCUCGGUUGCCGUUAUUUAG
rnacentral:rRNA from 1 species